GAAAUGCUGAGUUGGAAAGCACUUAAGAAGUGAAGAGCAUCAUUAUAAAUGUGUAGCAUAGGAAUAAGCAGCCUGCUAGAACUGACAACAAAAUGGAAGAGAUCAGAAAACAGAGUUUAUGCCAAGGUGAACCAUGAUCAGUUCCCAGCUCAGGGGAAGGAAUUCCUUCCAGGUGCAAGAUUCUCUAUACCAGAGCACAGUGGACAGAGUCCCACCCCUGCUUCAUCAGUUUAUUAGGGAGAGAAGACAAAGCCAAGCACUCUUCCAUGGCUUCCUUUCUGGAGAGACACCCGAUAAAUCAUCAGAAGUUAAUGAUCAAAAAGCUUAUCAGGGUAUUUUUGUUUAUAAAUUUAUAAGACAAAAGAGAAAUAAUAAAGGCACUGGAUAAUUAGUAACUAGUCAGGGCCCGCCCGGUGCAACUGGAGCUCAAACUGCCCCAAGAUCUCUACGCAUACUCGGGAAGAAGAAGGCAGGGGUGACACGGAGUGAGCAAGACGUGUGGAACAGAAAGAGCUGGAUAGGCAGACACAAAAGAGGGGGGCUAGACAGAAAGAAGUGGGAUGAGAGAGAGCAAAAGAAGGAAAGAAGAAAGAGGUGUAGGACAGGGGAGAUGGAAACAGCUGGGGCUUGUAACAAAGAAGGAGGGGGAUGAAAAGUAGAGGCAGAGGAGGGUGAGAGGCUCCUUGGGUAGGCAAGAAGAUUUAAUUAUGUGGAACAUUUUCCUUUCCAGGAUGAAGCUUCCCUGUGCUCUAAGAAGAAAAGGACCAGCUGAUACUGGACCCUUUGCAACCUCUAGACAUGGAAACUGCUACAAUUACUGUAGCCAAAGGCCAGUCAGAGCCAGCAGAUUCCAGAGACUAGAAAACAAAAGAUAAACAUCUAUUAAUUUUAGGAACAUCACAGAUGCUGGAGCUGGACAUGCGUGUGGUGAAGUUGAGGAGAACAGGCAUUUUAAUUCUCUGGAGAACACUUCACACUCACAACUGGAAACCUCAAGGAAAAUAACUGAAGCCCAAAUGAACAUUUAAAUUUAGCCGGGACAAAGUGCUGCGAAGUACAAUAAAAGGCCUUUGAUGGGCUGACUACCAUCAUCAGGGUAACUACUCCACAUGAAGCUUCUCUGGCCACCAUUCUCCAUUGCUAAGGAGUCAGAACUGAAUUUUGCUUCUAGAGUGACAUUUGCCUUUGUAGGAGGAGGGGUAUAGACUUUGUGCUGUCAGUGGUGUCAUCUGAUUCUUCAUCAUUGUUGCCUUACUCUGCUAAGGGAAUUAUUUAUCUAACCAGAGAUAAAAAAAAGACCUUAUUUUGUUGUCUGACAGUACAGAGACUUCUCUAACAGGUCCAAACAAUGCAGCAGUCUAUGCUCAAGAGACAGGACAUCAUAUCUCA